AUAUCUUUCAGGUCAUCCAGAGGUGCCCAAGCCACACCAACAGAGAAGAUAGUGAUUCCUACAAUGAAAACAUUUUAAAGUGAAUUGAAAAUCAGGUCUAGCUAAUAUAUGGAAUUAUGUCUAUAUGUUUUCCAUACACUGUUACAUAGUUGCAGCGAAAACUGCUUACUAAUUUCUGGACAAUUAAAUCCCCUGAACAAAUUAAGUUUUCACAGUCAUUGUGACGAGAGUGGCAAAAGAGUGGUCCAAACCAGAAACUCUGCUAUAUCUGUAAUUCGCCACAUUAACAGAACAAGGACCUUACCUGCAUCAUGUGCAGCAGCUGCAGGGCCUUGGACAUCAUCAUAGGACUGCCCAUCUGUGACAAUUACUAGGAAGUUCUUGUUGGGGCUCUCCCUUAUAGGGCCAAACACAUUUCUAACAGUGAAGGAAAUGGCAUCACCAGUAGCUGUUCCACCACUCAUAUAGCGGAUGUUUCUGAUGACAGCUAGGACAUUCUCUUUGGUGCUAUAGUCAGUGAAACUGAACUCCGUGCGCUGAUCAUAAGUAAACUGUACAGCAGCUAUCUUGGCACCAAUGUCCGAGAUUUCAAAAGUCUUGGCUAUGUUGGAAACAAAUUCAAGCAUGAGGCGGAAAUUGCUAUCUCCAACACUGCUGGAGCCAUCAAUUAGAAAGGCAAUGUUCACUGAGUUAUAACAGGUCUUGCUGCACAUCAUUUGUUCAUGAGUGCACAGCUUCUGUACCAGAGGCUUUACGUAUUUUGUGGUGCCAAACCAGUUGGGCAUGUGGUAAGAGAAGAAGCCAUUAUUCCGACAGACAGCCUAAUGGGGGAGACACAUAAAAGAUAUCCAAAAGGAUCAAAAGUUGUUUCUUCUUAAAAACUGGAAAAUCCUGAAUGUUUCAAGUUAAUCUAGAUAAGAGGCAGUCAGCACUGCACUUAGAGGUCCAAAAUGGAAUACCCAUCACUGUAACAGAAGAUAACCCUCACCACUUUACCUUGUCAACAAAUGUGACAUCCUGAACCAUCCCCAGUUCUUCAGGGAUAGGCUUGGCCACAGAAACUAUAAAUACAUUGACACCAAACUCUCUGGCCACAAUGCCUGCUUCCUCGAUGUCAUCAGAAGGCCAACCAUCAAUAAAUACCACCACCACUUUGG
rnacentral:lncRNA from 1 species